rnacentral:misc_RNA from 1 species
GAUGAAGAACGUAGCGAAAUGCGAUAAGUAAUGUGAAUUGCAGAAUUCAGUGAAUCAUCGAAUCUUUGAACGCACAUUGCGCCCGCCAGUACUCUGGCGGGCAUGCCUGUCUGAGCGUCAUUUCAACCCUCAUGCCCCUAGGGCGUGGUGUUGGGGAUCGGCCAAAGCCCGCGAGGGACGGCCGGCCCCUAAAUCUAGUGGCGGACCCGUCGUGGCCUCCUCUGCGAAGUAGUGAUAUUCCGCAUCGGAGAGCGACGAGCCCCUGCCGUUAAACCCCCAACUUUCCAAGGUUGACCUCAGAUCAGGUAGGAAUACCCGCUGAACUUAAGCAUAUCAAUAAGCGGAGGA